AGGUCACUGCUAUCGGUGUUCGAUUAAGCCAUGCGAGUCGUGAGGGGGUAAAGCCCUCGGCGGAGUGCUCAGUAACACGUGGACAACCUACCCAAGAGUCAGGGAUAACCCCGGGAAACUGGGGAUAAUACUGAUAGGCCAUGACAUCUGGAAUCGAGUUGUGGUUUAAACGUAAGGCUCUUGGAUGGGUCUGCGGCGGAUUAGGUUGUUGCCGGUGUAACGUACCAGCAAGCCUGUAAUCCGUACGGGUUGUGGGAGCAAGAGCCCGGAGAUGGAUUCUGAGACACGAAUCCAGGCCCUACGAGGCGCAGCAGGCGCGAAAACUUUACAAUGCAGGCAACUGCGAUAGGGGAACAUCGAGUGGCAUCCACCAUGGAUGUCUGUCCAAUCGUUUAAAAAACGAUUGUCAGCAAGGGCCGGGCAAGACCGGUGCCAGCCGCCGCGGUAAUACCGGCGGCUCGAGUGGUGGCCGAUAUUAUUGAGUCUAAAGGGUCCGUAGCCGGCUUUGCAAGUCCUAUGGGAAAUCCAGCGGCUUAACCGUUGGGCUUUCAUGGGGUACUACAUUGCUUGGGACUGGGAGAGGUAGGAGGUACUCAGGGGGUAGGGGUGAAAUCCUGUAAUCCUUUGGGGACCACCGGUGGCGAAGGCGUCCUACCAGAACAGGUCCGACGGUGAGGGACGAAAGCUAGGGGCACGAACCGGAUUAGAUACCCGGGUAGUCCUAGCCGUAAACGAUGCUCGCUAGGUGUCACGGCAGUCGUGAAUUGUCGUGGUGCCGUAGGGAAGCCGUGAAGCGAGCCACUUGGGAAGUACGACCGCAAGGUUGAAACUUAA
rnacentral:rRNA from 1 species